AGGAGACCGAGAAAGGUAUUGCCG
rnacentral:siRNA from 1 species